rnacentral:rRNA from 1 species
GAGUUUGAUCUUGGCUCAGGAUGAACGCUAGCGACAGGCCUAACACAUGCAAGUCGAGGGGUAUAGUAGCAAUACUAGAGACCGGCGCACGGGUGCGUAACGCGUAUGUAACCUGCCUCACACUGGGGGAUAGCCUUCCGAAAGGGAGAUUAAUACCGCAUAAUAAUAUAGUCCUGCCUGGGACUGUAUUUAAAACUUCGGUGGUGUGAGAUGGACAUGCGUAUGAUUAGCUAGUUGGCGGGGUAACGGCCCACCAAGGCGACGAUCAUUAGGGGUUCUGAGAGGAAGAUCCCCCACACUGGUACUGAGACACGGACCAGACUCCUACGGGAGGCAGCAGUGAGGAAUAUUGGUCAAUGGGCGAAAGCCUGAACCAGCCAUGUCGCGUGCAGGAAGACGGCCCUAUGGGUUGUAAACUGCUUUUGUAUGGGAAGAAACGACGGUACGUGUACUGUUUUGCCGGUACCAUACGAAUAAGGAUCGGCUAACUCCGUGCCAGCAGCCGCGGUAAUACGGAGGAUCCAAGCGUUAUCCGGAUUUAUUGGGUUUAAAGGGUGCGUAGGCGGGAGAUUAAGUCAGUGGUGAAAGUUUGCGGCUCAACCGUAAAAUUGCCAUUGAUACUGGUUUUCUUGAGUACAGUUGAGGUAGGCGGAAUGUGGUGUGUAGCGGUGAAAUGCUUAGAUAUACCACAGAACACCGAUUGCGAAGGCAGCUUACUAAGUUGUGACUGACGCUGAAGCACGAAAGCAUGGGGAUCAAACAGGAUUAGAUACCCUGGUAGUCCAUGCCGUAAACGAUGAUCACUAGCUGUUUGCGAUAUAUUGUAAGUGGCAAAGGGAAACCAUUAAGUGAUCCACCUGGGGAGUACGCCCGCAAGGGUGAAACUCAAAGGAAUUGACGGGGGCCCGCACAAGCGGAGGAACAUGUGGUUUAAUUCGAUGAUACGCGAGGAACCUUACCUGGAUUUAAAUGGGGAGUGACAGGGGUAGAGAUACCUUUUUCUUCGGACACUCUUCAAGGUGCUGCAUGGUUGUCGUCAGCUCGUGCCGUGAGGUGUCGGGUUAAGUCCCAUAACGAGCGCAACCCACGUUGUUAGUUACCAGCAUGUCAUGAUGGGGACUCUAACAAGACUGCCGGUGUAAACCGCGAGGAAGGUGUGGAUGACGUCAAAUCAGCACGGCCCUUACAUCCAGGGCUACACACGUGUUACAAUGGCCGGUACAGAGGGCAGCUACCCCGCGAGGGGAUGCGAAUCCUAUAAAACCGGUCUCAGUUCGGAUUGGAGUCUGCAACCCGACUCCAUGAAGCUGGAUUCGCUAGUAAUCGCGCAUCAGCCAUGGCGCGGUGAAUACGUUCCCGGGCCUUGUACACACCGCCCGUCAAGCCAUGGGAGCCGGGGGUACCUGAAGUCUGUAACCGCAAGGAGCGGCCUAGGGUAAAACUGGUGACUGGGGCUAAGUCGUAACAAGGUAACCGUA